rnacentral:rRNA from 1 species
AGUGAACGCUGGCGGUAGGCCUAACACAUGCAAGUCGAACGGCAGCUCAGUAAGAGCUUGCUCUUACGGGUGGCGAGUGGCGGACGGGUGAGGAAUACAUCGGAAUCUACUUUUUCGUGGGGGAUAACGUAGGGAAACUUACGCUAAUACCGCAUACGACCUACGGGUGAAAGCAGGGGAUCUUCGGACCUUUCGCGAUUGAAUGAGCCGAUGUCGGAUUAGCUAGUUGGCGGGGUAAAGGCCCACCAAGGCGACGAUCCGUAGCUGGUCUGAGAGGAUGAUCAGCCACACUGGAACUGAGACACGGUCCAGACUCCUACGGGAGGCAGCAGUAGGGAAUAUUGGACAAUGGGCGCAAGCCUGAUCCAGCCAUACCGCGUGGGUGAAGAAGGCCUUCGGGUUGUAAAGCCCUUUUGUUGGGAAAGAAAAGCAGCAGGUUAAUACCCCGCUGUUCUGACGGUACCCAAAGAAUAAGCACCGGCUAACUUCGUG